rnacentral:rRNA from 1 species
GACGAACGCUGGCGGCGUGCUUAACACAUGCAAGUCGAACGGAAAGGCCCUGCUUUUGUGGGGUGCUCGUUUGGCGAACGGGUGAGUAACACGUGAGUAACCUGCCCUUGACUGUGGGAUAACUUCAGGAAACUGGGGCUAAUACCGGAUAGGAUCUCCUGCUGCAUGGUGGGGGUUGGAAAGUUUCGGCGGUUGGGGAUGGACUCGCGGCUUAUCAGCUUGUUGGUGGGGUAGUGGCUUACCAAGGCUUUGACGGGUAGCCGGCCUGAGAGGGUUACCGGCCACAUUGGGACUGAGCUGCGGGCCAGACUACUACGGGAGGCAGAAGUGGGGAAUAUUGCACAAUGGGCGGAAGCCUGAUGCAGCAACGCCGCGUGCGGGAUAACGGCCGUCGGGUUGUAAAACGCUUUCGCCUGUGACGAAGCGUGAGUGACGGUAAUGGGUAAAGAAGCACCGGCUAAAUACGUG